CUUUACACAUGCAAGUCGAACGGCAGCAUAGAGAGCUUGCUCUCUGAUGGCGAGUGGCGAACGGGUGAGUAAUAUAUCGGAACGUACCUAGUAAUGGGGAACAACUAGCCGAAAGGUUAGCUAAUACCGCAUACGACCUACGGGUGAAAGCAGGGGAUCUUCGGACCUUGCGUUAUUAGAGCGGCCGAUAUCUGAUUAGGUAGUUGGUGGGGUAAAAGCCUACCAAGCCAACGAUCAGUAGCUGGUCUGAGAGGACGAUCAGCCACACUGGAACUGAGACACGGUCCAGACUCCUACGGGAGGCAGCAGUGGGGAAUUUUGGACAAUGGGGGCAACCCUGAUCCAGCCAUUCCGCGUGAGUGAAGAAGGCCUUCGGGUUGUAAAGCUCUUUCACAAGAGAAGAAAUCUUACUAUCAAAUAAAUAGUAAGGAUGACGGUAUCUUGAGAAGAAGCACCGGCUAACUACGUGCCAGCAGCCGCGGUAAUACGUAGGGUGCGAGCGUUAAUCGGAAUUACUGGGCGUAAAGCGUGCGCAGGCGGUUUUAUAAGUCAGAUGUGAAAUCCCCGAGCUCAACUUGGGAACUGCGUUUGAAACUGUAAGACUAGAGUGUGUCAGAGGGGGGUAGAAUUCCAUGUGUAGCAGUGAAAUGCGUAGAUAUAUGGAGGAAUACCAAUGGCGAAGGCAGCCCCCUGGGAUAACACUGACGCUCAUGCACGAAAGCGUGGGGAGCAAACAGGAUUAGAUACCCUGGUAGUCCACGCCCUAAACGAUGUCUACUAGUUGUUGGUGGAGUAAAAUCCAUGAGUAACGCAGCUAACGCGUGAAGUAGACCGCCUGGGGAGUACGGUCG
rnacentral:rRNA from 1 species